UACGGAGGGUGCAAGCGUUAUCCGGAAUCACUGGGUUUAAAGGGUGCGUAGGCGGUGAGAUAAGUCAGUCGUGAAAUCUCUUGGCUUAACCAAUGAAAUUGCGAUUGAUACUGUUUUACUUGAAAGAGGUUGAGGUCAGCGGAAUGUGGCAUGUAGCGGUGAAAUGCAUAGAUAUGCCAUAGAACACCGAUUGCGAAGGCAGCUGGCUGGACCUACUUUGACGCUGAGGCACGAAAGCGUGGGGAGCAAACAGG
rnacentral:rRNA from 1 species